rnacentral:tRNA from 1 species
GGGGAUUUAGCUCAGCGGCAUAAGCACCUGCCUUGCAUGCAGGUGGUCAUGACUUUGAUCCCCG